ACGGCUCAGUAACACGUAUAUAAGGAAUUGGCGGGGGAGCACAUACGGCUCAGUAACACGUAUAGGAAUUGGCGGGGGAGCACAUACGGCUCAGUAACACGUGGACAACCUACCCUCAGAUCUGGGAUAAACCUGGGAAACUGGGUAUAAUACCGGAUAGGUCUUGGAUGCUGGAAUGCACCGAGGCCCAAAGCUCCGGCGUCUGAGGAUGGGUCUGCGGCCUAUCAGGGUAGUAGUGGGUGUAAAGUACCUACUAGCCUACGACGGGUACGGGUCGUGAGAGCGAGAGCCCGGAGAUGGAUUCUGAGACACGAAUCCAGGCCCUACGGGGUGCAGCAGGCGCGAAAACUUUACAAUGCCGGCAACGGCGAUAAGGGGACCUCGAGUGCCAGGAUACAAUCCUGGCUGUCGUAAUGCCUAAAAAGCAUUAUAUAGCAAGGGCCGGGCAAGACCGGUGCCAGCCGCCGCGGUAACACCGGCGGCUCGAGUGGUAACCGCUAUUAUUGGGUCUAAAGGGUCUGUAGCCGGCCUGGUAAGUCUUUUGGGAAAUCCGGCAGCUCAACUGUCAGGCUAUCAGAGGAUACUGCUAGGCUCGAGACCGGGAGAGGUGAGAGGUACUUCAUGGGUAGGGGGUGAAAUCUUAUAAUCCUUGAAGGACCACCAGUGGCGAAGGCGUCUCACCAGAACGGAUCUGACGGCAAGGGACGAAAGCUAGGGGCACGAACCGGAUUAGAUACCCGGGUAGUCCUAGCCGUAAACGAUACUCGCUAGGUGUCGGCCACGGUGCGACCGUGGUCGGUGCCGUAGGGAAGCCGUGAAGCGAGCCACCUGGGAA
rnacentral:rRNA from 1 species